rnacentral:rRNA from 1 species
AAUAGAUACCCGGGUAGUCCACGCUGUAAACGAUGAGGACUAAAUGUUGGUAGGGGAACCUAUCGGUAUUGAAGCUAACGCGAUAAGUCUUCCGCCUGGGAAGUACGGCCGCAAGGUUGAAACUCAAAUGAAUUGACGGGGGCCCGCACAAGCGGUGGAGCAUGUGGUUUAAUUCGAUGCAACGCGAAGAACCUUACCUACCCUUGACAUCCUGCGAAUCCCGAUGAGAGUUGGGAGUGCCGCAAGGAGCGCAGAGACAGGUGCUGCAUGGCUGUCGUCAGCUCGUGUUGUGAGAUGUUGGGUUAAGUCCCGUAACGAGCGCAACCCUUGUCCUUAGUUGCCAGCAUUAAGUUGGGGACUCUAAGGAGACUGCCGGUGAGGAACCGGAGGAAGGCGGGGACGACGUCAAGUCAUCAUGGCCUUUAUGGGUAGGGCUACACACGUGCUACAAUGGGGCGUACAGAGGGUCGCGAACCCGCGAGGGGGAGCCAAUCUCAUAAAGUGUCUCGUAGUCCGGAUUGGAGUCUGCAACUCGACUCC